AUUGAACGCUGGCGGCAUGCCUUACACAUGCAAGUCGAACGGCAGCACGGACUUCGGUCUGGUGGCGAGUGGCGAACGGGUGAGUAAUAUAUCGGAACAUACCCUAGAGUGGGGGAUAACGUAGCGAAAGUUACGCUAAUACCGCAUACGCACUAAGGUGGAAAGUGGGGGAUCGCAAGACCUCAUGCUCAUGGAGUGGCCGAUAUCUGAUUAGCUAGUUGGUGAGGUAAAGGCUCACCAAGGCGACGAUCGAGUAGCUGGUCUGAGAGGACGACCAGCCACACUGGAACUGAGACACGGUCCAGACUCCUACGGGAGGCAGCAGUGGGGAAUUUUGGGACAAUGGGCGCAAGCCUGAUCCAGCAAUGCCGCGUGAGUGAAGAAGGCCU
rnacentral:rRNA from 1 species